GCGCUUAUAGCUUAGUGGAAAAGCAGACGGCUUAUACCCGUCCGUCCUUGGUUCGAUUCCAAGUAAGCGCA
rnacentral:tRNA from 2 species